AAACAAUUGAUUUCUAUUUGUUAUAUUCUCUUUUUUUUUUUUAAUACUGAUUAAUCAUCAGAUUACUGCAUUACACAGAUAUUUACAACAACUGUUAUUGUAGCAGAGAUAUUAUACUGAUAUUUACAAUCAGAUAUACAUAAUUGGGACUUAUAUUAUGACAUUGAAUUCUAUGAAGUACAUGCCCAAACAAAUAACCCCUCACAGGAGAGGGAUGUCCAUACUCCACUCGCAUUUCGCAAGGGAGAAUGAUUUUUUUGGAAGUAUAAAGAACAUUUAGCCCCCACAAUGCUUUUGUGGGGGCUAGAACCGCUGCCCUCACAAGCAUUGUGAGGGCAGCAGCCCACCACUUCAGCCAAGGCC
rnacentral:lncRNA from 1 species